rnacentral:rRNA from 1 species
UACGUAGGGGGCGAGCGUUGUCCGGAUUUACUGGGCGUAAAGCGCGUGUAGGCGGUACUCUAAGUCCGGGGUGAAAUCCGGGGGCUUAACCCCGAACGGCGACCCGGGAAACUGGAGCGGCUUGAGUGUCGGAGAGGGGAGUAGGAAUUCUCGGUGUAGCGGUGGAAAUGCGUAGAGAUCAAGGAGGAACACCGGUGGCGAAGGCGGCGUUCUGGACUGCAACUGACACUGAGGAACGAAAGCCAGGGUAGCAAACGGGA